rnacentral:snRNA from 1 species
UUAGAAAGAAGUAAAAUUGGAACUGUACAGUGAUUAGCAUGGCCCCUGUGAGAAGAUAACAUGCAAAUUUGUGGAGCGUUCCCUAGUUUU